rnacentral:rRNA from 1 species
CCCUUAGAUGUUCUGGGCCGCACGCGCGCUACACUGAUGCAUUCAACGAGCCUAUCCUUGACCGACAGGUCCGGGUAAUCUUUGAAUCUGCAUCGUGACGGGGAUAGAUUAUUGCAAUUAUUAAUCUUCAACGAGGAAUGCCUAGUAGGCGCAAGUCAUCAGCUUGCGUCGAUUACGUCCCUGCCCUUUGUACACACCGCCCGUCGCUCCUACCGAUUGGGUGUGCUGGUGAAAUGUUCGGAUCGGCCGUUUGUCGCGGUUUCCGCGUCAUGUGGCUGAGAAGUUCAUUUAACCCUCCCACCUAGAGGAAGGAGAAGUCGUAACA